GGUUAAGCGACUAAGCGUACACGGUGGAUGCCCUGGCAGUCAGAGGCGAUGAAGGACGUGCUAAUCUGCGAAAAGCGUCGGUAAGGUGAUAUGAACCGUUAUAACCGGCGAUGUCCGAAUGGGGAAACCCAGUGUGAUUCGUCACACUAUCGUUAACUGAAUACAUAGGUUAACGAGGCGAACCGGGGGAACUGAAACAUCUAAGUACCCCGAGGAAAAGAAAUCAACCGAGAUUCCCCCAGUAGCGGCGAGCGAACGGGGAGCAGCCCAGAGUCUGAAUCAGCUUGUGUGUUAGUGGAACGGUCUGGAAAGUCCGACGGUACAGGGUGAUAGUCCCGUACACCAAAAUGCACAGGUUGUGAACUCGAAGAGUAGGGCGGGACACGUGGUAUCCUGUCUGAAUAUGGGGGGACCAUCCUCCAAGGCUAAAUACUCCUGACUGACCGAUAGUGAACCAGUACCGUGAGGGAAAGGCGAAAAGAACCCCGGCGAGGGGAGUGAAAAAGAACCUGAAACCGUGUACGUACAAGCAGUGGGAGCACCUUCGGGUGUGACUGCGUACCUUUUGUAUAAUGGGUCAGCGACUUAUAUUCUGUAGCAAGGUUAACCGUAUAGGGGAGCCGCAGGGAAACCGAGUCUUAACUGGGCGUUAAGUUGCAGGGUAUAGACCCGAAACCCGGUGAUCUAGCCAUGGGCAGGUUGAAGGUUGGGUAACACUAACUGGAGGACCGAACCGACUAAUGUUGAAAAAUUAGCGGAUGACUUGUGGCUGGGGGUGAAAGGCCAAUCAAACCGGGAGAUAGCUGGUUCUCCCCGAAAGCUAUUUAGGUAGCGCCUCGUGAAUUCAUCUUCGGGGGUAGAGCACUGUUUCGGCUAGGGGGUCAUCCCGACUUACCAACCCGAUGCAAACUACGAAUACCGAAGAAUGUUAUCACGGGAGACACACGGCGGGUGCUAACGUCCGUCGUGAAGAGGGAAACAACCCAGACCGCCAGCUAAGGUCCCAAAGUCAUGGUUAAGUGGGAAACGAUGUGGGAAGGCACAGACAGCCAGGAUGUUGGCUUAGAAGCAGCCAUCAUUUAAAGAAAGCGUAAUAGCUCACUGGUCGAGUCGGCCUGCGCGGAAGAUGUAACGGGGCUAAACCAUGCACCGAAGCUGCGGCAGCGACACUAUGUGUUGUUGGGUAGGGGAGCGUUCUGUAAGCCUGCGAAGGUGACCUGUGAGGGUUGCUGGAGGUAUCAGAAGUGCGAAUGCUGACAUAAGUAACGAUAAAGCGGGUGAAAAGCCCGCUCGCCGGAAGACCAAGGGUUCCUGUCCAACGUUAAUCGGGGCAGGGUGAGUCGACCCCUAAGGCGAGGCCGAAAGGCGUAGUCGAUGGGAAACAGGUUAAUAUUCCUGUACUUGGUGUUACUGCGAAGGGGGGACGGAGAAGGCUAUGUUAGCCGGGCGACGGUUGUCCCGGUUUAAGCAUGUAGGCUGGUUAUCCAGGCAAAUCCGGAUAAUCAAGGCUGAGGUGUGAUGACGAGGCACUACGGUGCUGAAGUAACAAAUGCCCUGCUUCCAGGAAAAGCCUCUAAGCAUCAGGUAACAUCAAAUCGUACCCCAAACCGACACAGGUGGUCAGGUAGAGAAUACCAAGGCGCUUGAGAGAACUCGGGUGAAGGAACUAGGCAAAAUGGUGCCGUAACUUCGGGAGAAGGCACGCUGGUGUGUAGGUGAAGUCCCUGCGGAUGGAGCUGAGACCAGUCGAAGAUACCAGCUGGCUGCAACUGUUUAUUAAAAACACAGCACUGUGCAAACACGAAAGUGGACGUAUACGGUGUGACGCCUGCCCGGUGCCGGAAGGUUAAUUGAUGGGGUUAUCCGUAAGGAGAAGCUCUUGAUCGAAGCCCCGGUAAACGGCGGCCGUAACUAUAACGGUCCUAAGGUAGCGAAAUUCCUUGUCGGGUAAGUUCCGACCUGCACGAAUGGCGUAAUGAUGGCCAGGCUGUCUCCACCCGAGACUCAGUGAAAUUGAACUCGCUGUGAAGAUGCAGUGUACCCGCGGCAAGACGGAAAGACCCCGUGAACCUUUACUAUAGCUUGACACUGAACAUUGAGCCUUGAUGUGUAGGAUAGGUGGGAGGCUUUGAAGCGUGGACGCCAGUCUGCGUGGAGCCAACCUUGAAAUACCACCCUUUAAUGUUUGAUGUUCUAACGUUGGCCCCUGACCGGGGUUGCGGACAGUGUCUGGUGGGUAGUUUGACUGGGGCGGUCUCCUCCCAAAGCGUAACGGAGGAGCACGAAGGUUAGCUAAUCCUGGUCGGACAUCAGGAGGUUAGUGCAAUGGCAUAAGCUAGCUUGACUGCGAGCGUGACGGCGCGAGCAGGUGCGAAAGCAGGUCAUAGUGAUCCGGUGGUUCUGAAUGGAAGGGCCAUCGCUCAACGGAUAAAAGGUACUCCGGGGAUAACAGGCUGAUACCGCCCAAGAGUUCAUAUCGACGGCGGUGUUUGGCACCUCGAUGUCGGCUCAUCACAUCCUGGGGCUGAAGUAGGUCCCAAGGGUAUGGCUGUUCGCCAUUUAAAGUGGUACGCGAGCUGGGUUUAGAACGUCGUGAGACAGUUCGGUCCCUAUCUGCCGUGGGCGCUGGAGAAUUGAGGGGGGCUGCUCCUAGUACGAGAGGACCGGAGUGGACGCAUCACUGGUGUUCGGGUUGUCAUGCCAAUGGCACUGCCCGGUAGCUAAAUGCGGAAGAGAUAAGUGCUGAAAGCAUCUAAGCACGAAACUUGCCCCGAGAUGAGUUCUCCCUGAGACUUUAAGUCUCCUGAAGGAACGUUAAAGACGAUGACGUUGAUAGGCCGGGUGUGUAAGCGCAGCGAUGCGUUGAGCUAACCGGUACUAAUGAACCGUGAGGCUUAACCUU
rnacentral:rRNA from 1 species